rnacentral:rRNA from 1 species
UACAGAGGUCUCAAGCGUUGUUCGGAUUCAUUGGGCGUAAAGGGUGCGUAGGUGGCGCCGUAAGUCAGGUGUGAAAUUUCGGAGCUUAACUCCGAAACUGCAUUUGAUACUGCGGUGCUUGAGGACUGGAGAGGAGACUGGAAUUCACGGUGUAGCAGUGAAAUGCGUAGAUAUCGUGAGGAAGACCAGUGGCGAAGGCGGGUCUCUGGACAGUUCCUGACACUGAGGCAG